rnacentral:lncRNA from 1 species
GUAUACUCCAGGACAGCAGGUGGCGCGAUCGACAUAUUCAGUUGCUAAGCAACCCACAGAAAAACCACUCGACGCUUAGUUCCCUCGAAUCCAACAUCGCUAACGACCCACACAACACAACACAACACAGUCUGGAGGUGAACUUCUAACUGCCGUUGUGUCUGUUGCAGCUGUAAUACUUCAAGAAAUCAUGUACCACAUUGUCAGUUUUGUUGACACUGAAGAAGUGGAGGUUGUGCCUGUAAUCUGGGUGAAGAGUGGUGUGUGUUUAUGGCCUCCAUACAAAGGUGAAAGAGUUCAGAGGGCAGCCAAGUGUUUGGAGCAACCCCAGGAGUCUUGGUCUGCAUAUAAAGUAAAAAUAAUGUAUGCUACAAGUAUGUCUAAAUCCUUUAUGUACACAUUAUGUUUAAUUAAAAAGGGUUAAAUGGUAAACAACUUUUUGGAUUGUUCUGAUUUCUUAAUUCUGUCUUUCAUAGAUAAUUAUAGUGAAGCAUGCCGAAAGCUACCUCUUGCAGAACAGCAGACCGAUCUCCAGUUAGAGGCUGUGCCUGACUCCCUGAUGCCACCAAAAUGCAAAAUAAAACGAGACCGGUGCCUACUGGAUGAUUAUGACUGUGAUGAGGUGGCUACCACACCCCUAAAAAGCUAUUUGCCACAAGCCCCUCAAAUACAGCCACUGUCCAAAAGGAUUUGUUCAGCUUCUAAUGAGCUACAAUCAAGUCCUCUAGGACAAAGUCAAAAUCAAUCCCCGGGUGUGACACAGAUUGCGGAAACUUCAAGACCAUCCUUGUUGGAGAUAAGUCCUGCCUCCGAGUGGCCUGAAAAUACUCUGCUGCCUCACCAGAUUUCCCAGCAGCUGUGGCAAACAAGAAGUUCUGACAGAGCAUCACAAGACAUCACAGAACCUAACAGUGAACUGACAUGGCCACAGGACACAACUGUACAGUCUCCCGAGCAGCCGGCACAGUCACCGUGGCAUCAUGAAACACCCAGACCCCAGAGAAAAAGCCUCUCGAGCUAUGACCCAUUCAUAACCUGUAAGAUUCAUU